rnacentral:sRNA from 1 species
GCUGGGCAUGGUGAUGCAUGCCUGUAAUCCGAGCGGCUUGGGAGGCUGAGGCAGGAGGAUCAUGAAUUCAAAGCCAGCCUCAAGUGAGGCACUAAGCAACUCAGUGAGACCCUGUCUCUA